GACGAACGCUGGCGGCAUGCCUAAUACAUGCAAGUAGAACGCAGUUGCGAACGGGUUAGUAACGCGUAGGUAACUGCCUGGUAGCGGGGGAUAACUAUUGGAAACGAUAGCUAAUACCGCAUACUACCAGAUGGACCUGCGUUGUAUUAGCUAGUUGGUGAGGUAACGGCUCACAAAGGCAACGAUACGUAGCCGAGUUUGGAGGGUGAUCGGCCACACUGGGAAUGAGACACGGCCCAGACUCCUACGGGAGGCAGCAGUAGGGAAUCUUCGGCAAUGGGGGGAACCCUUACCGAGCAACGCCGCGUGAGUGAAGAAGGUUUUCGGAUCGUAAAGCUCUUGUGUUAAGGAAGCGGUACUUAACCAGAAAGGGACGGCUAACUACGUGCCAGCAGCCGCGGUAAUUC
rnacentral:rRNA from 1 species